rnacentral:rRNA from 1 species
AUUGAACGCUGGCGGCAGGCCUAACACAUGCAAGUCGAGCGGAUGAAGGGGGCUUGCUCCUGGAUUCAGCGGCGGACGGGUGAGUAAUGCCUAGGAAUCUGCCUGGUAGUGGGGGAUAACGUCCGGAAACGGGCGCUAAUACCGCAUACGUCCUGAGGGAGAAAGUGGGGGAUCUUCGGACCUCACGCUAUCAGAUGAGCCUAGGUCGGAUUAGCUAGUUGGUGGGGUAAAGGCCUACCAAGGCGACGAUCCGUAACUGGUCUGAGAGGAUGAUCAGCCACACGGGAACUGAGACACGGUCCAGACUCCUACGGGAGGCAGCAGUGGGGAAUAUUGGACAGUGGGCGAAAGCCUGAUCCAGCCAUGCCGCGUGUGUGAAGAAGGUCUUCGGAUUGUAAAGCACUUUAAGUUGGGAGGAAGGGCAGUAAGUUAAUACCUUGCUGUUUUGACGUUACCAACAGAAUAAGCACCGGCUAACUUCGUG